rnacentral:rRNA from 1 species
GUGGGGAAUCUUGCGCAAUGGGCGAAAGCCUGACGCAGCCAUGCCGCGUGAAUGAUGAAGGUCUUAGGAUUGUAAAAUUCUUUCACCGGGGACGAUAAUGACGGUACCCGGAGAAGAAGCUCCGGCUAACUUCGUGCCAGCAGCCGCGGUAAUACGAAGGGGGCUAGCGUUGCUCGGAAUUACUGGGCGUAAAGGGCGCGUAGGCGGACAGCUUAGUCAGAGGUGAAAGCCCAGGGCUCAACCUUGGAAUUGCCUUGGAUACUGGCUGUCUUGAGUUUGGGAGAGGUGAGUGGAACUCCGAGUGUAGAGGUGAAAUUCGUAGAUAUUCGGAAGAACACCAGUGGCGAAGGCGACUCACUGGCCCAAUACUGACGCUGAGGCGCGAAAGCGUGGGGAGCAAACAGGAUUAGAAACCCGAGUAGUCC